rnacentral:rRNA from 1 species
UACGUAGGGUGCGAGCGUUGUCCGGAAUUAUUGGGCGUAAAGAGCUCGUAGGCGGUCUGUCGCGUCGAAUGUGAAAACCCGGGGCUCAACUCCGGGCUUGCAUUCGAUACGGGCAGGCUAGAGUUCGGUAGGGGAGUCUGGAAUUCCUGGUGUAGCGGUGAAAUGCGCAGAUAUCAGGAGGAACACCGAUGGCGAAGGCAGGUCUCUGGGCCACUACUGACGCUGAGAAGCGAAAGCAUGGGGAGCGAACAGG